UACGGGGGGAGCAAGCGUUGUUCGGAUUUACUGGGCGUAAAGGGCGCGUAGGCGGUCAGUGCAAGUCAGUUGUGAAAUCUCCGGGCUUAACUCGGAAAGGUCAACUGAUACUGCUCGACUAGAGUGCGGAAGGGGCAACUGGAAUUCUUGGUGUAGCGGUGAAAUGCGUAGAUAUCAAGAGGAACACCUGCGGCGAAGGCGGGUUGCUGGGCCGACACUGACGCUGAAGCGCGAAAGCUGGGGGAGCGAACGGG
rnacentral:rRNA from 1 species